rnacentral:rRNA from 1 species
ACGCUAGCUACAGGCUUAACACAUGCAAGUCGAGGGGCAGCAUUUUAGUUUGCUUGCAAACUGAAGAUGGCGACCGGCGCACGGGUGAGUAACACGUAUCCAACCUGCCGAUAACUCCGGGAUAGCCUUUCGAAAGAAAGAUUAAUACCGGAUAGCAUACGAAUAUCGCAUGAUAUUUUUAUUAAAGAAUUUCGGUUAUCGAUGGGGAUGCGUUCCAUUAGUUUGUUGGCGGGGUAACGGCCCACCAAGACUACGAUGGAUAGGGGUUCUGAGAGGAAGGUCCCCCACAUUGGAACUGAGACACGGUCCAAACUCCUACGGGAGGCAGCAGUGAGGAAUAUUGGUCAAUGGGCGCGAGCCUGAACCAGCCAAGUAGCGUGAAGGAUGAAGGCUCUAUGGGUCGUAAACUUCUUUUAUAUGGGAAUAAAGUUUUCCACGUGUGGAAUUUUGUAUGUACCAUAUGAAUAAGGAUCGGCUAACUCCGUGCCAGCAGCCGCGGUAAUACGGAGGAUCCGAGCGUUAUCCGGAUUUAUUGGGUUUAAAGGGAGCGUAGGUGGAUUGUUAAGUCAGUUGUGAAAGUUUGCGGCUCAACCGUAAAAUUGCAGUUGAAACUGGCAGUCUUGAGUACAGUAGAGGUGGGCGGAAUUCGUGGUGUAGCGGUGAAAUGCUUAGAUAUCACGAAGAACUCCGAUUGCGAAGGCAGCUCACUAGACUGUCACUGACACUGGUGCUCGAAAGUGUGGGUAUCAAACAGGAUUAGAUACCCUGGUAGUCCACACAGUAAACGAUGAAUACUCGCUGUUUGCGAUAUACAGUAAGCGGCCAAGCGAAAGCAUUAAGUAUUCCACCUGGGGAGUACGCCGGCAACGGUGAAACUCAAAGGAAUUGACGGGGGCCCGCACAAGCGGAGGAACAUGUGGUUUAAUUCGAUGAUACGCGAGGAACCUUACCCGGGCUUAAAUUGCAACAGAAUAUAUUGGAAACAGUAUAGCCGUAAGGCUGUUGUGAAGGUGCUGCAUGGUUGUCGUCAGCUCGUGCCGUGAGGUGUCGGCUUAAGUGCCAUAACGAGCGCAACCCUUAUCUUUAGUUACUAACAGGUCAUGCUGAGGACUCUAGAGAGACUGCCGUCGUAAGAUGUGAGGAAGGUGGGGAUGACGUCAAAUCAGCACGGCCCUUACGUCCGGGGCUACACACGUGUUACAAUGGGGGGUACAGAAGGCGGCUACCUGGUGACAGGAUGCUAAUCCCAAAAACCUCUCUCAGUUCGGAUCGAAGUCUGCAACCCGACUUCGUGAAGCUGGAUUCGCUAGUAAUCGCGCAUCAGCCAUGGCGCGGUGAAUACGUUCCCGGGCCUUGUACACACCGCCCGUCAAGCCAUGAAAGCCGGGGGUACCUGAAGUACGUAACCGCAAGGAGCGUCCUAGGGUAAAACUG